GAGGGUGUAGCUCAGUGGUCGAGUGUGUGCUUAGCACGCACGAGGUCCUGGGUUCAAUGCCCAGUACCUCCA
rnacentral:tRNA from 1 species